rnacentral:rRNA from 1 species
GUGGGGAAUAUUGCACAAUGGGCGCAAGCCUGAUGCAGCGACGCCGCGUGGGGGAUGACGGCCUUCGGGUUGUAAACUCCUUUCGCUAGGGACGAAGCGUUUUGUGACGGUACCUGGAGAAGAAGCACCGGCUAACUACGUGCCAGCAGCCGCGGUAAUACGUAGGGUGCGAGCGUUGUCCGGAAUUACUGGGCGUAAAGAGCUCGUAGGUGGUUUGUCGCGUCGUUUGUGUAAGCCCGCAGCUUAACUGCGGGACUGCAGGCGAUACGGGCAUAACUUGAGUGCUGUAGGGGAGACUGGAAUUCCUGGUGUAGCGGUGGAAUGCGCAGAUAUCAGGAGGAACACCGAUGGCGAAGGCAGGUCUCUGGGCAGUAACUGACGCUGAGGAGCGAAAGCAUGGGUAGCGA